rnacentral:rRNA from 1 species
GACGAACGCUGGCGGCGUGCCUAAUACAUGCAAGUAGAACGCUGAAGGAGGAGCUUGCUUCUCUGGAUGAGUUGCGAACGGGUGAGUAACGCGUAGGUAACCUGCCUGUUAGCGGGGGAUAACUCUUGGAAACGAUAGCUAAUACCGCAUAAGAGUAGAUGUUGCAUGACAUUUGCUUAAAAGAUGCAGUUGCAUCACUACCAGAUGGACCUGCGUUGGAUUAGCUAGUUGGUGUGGUAACGGCUCACCAAGGCGACGAUACAGCGGCGGCCUUGGAGGGGGGACGGCCAAACUGGGAACGGGACAAGGGCCAGGACCCUACGGGAGGGAGGAGGAGGGAAUCUUUGGGAAAGGGGGGAAGGCUGAACGGAGAACGCCGGGGGAGGGAAGAAGGGUUUCGGAUCGGAAAGCCCGGUUGUAAGGGGAGAAAGAGAGUGGGAGUGAAAAGUGCACGUUGUGACGGUAUCUAAUCAGAAAGAGACGGCUAACUACGUG